rnacentral:rRNA from 1 species
AGUGAACGCUGGCGGUAGGCCUAACACAUGCAAGUCGAACGGCAGCACAGUAAGAGCUUGCUCUUACGGGUGGCGAGUGGCGGACGGGUGAGGAAUACAUCGGAAUCUACUUUUUCGUGGGGGAUAACGUAGGGAAACUUACGCUAAUACCGCAUACGACCUACGGGUGAAAGCAAGGGAUCUUCGGACCUUGCGCGAUUGAAUGAGCCGAUGUCGGAUUAGCUAGUUGGCGGGGUAAAGGCCCACCAAGGCGACGAUCCGUAGCUGGUCUGAGAGGAUGAUUCGGCCACCUGGAACUGAGACCACGGCCAGACUCCUUCGGGAGGGCAGCGUGGGGAAUAUUUGGCCAAUGGCGGCAGCCUGGUCCCGGCCAUCCGGGUGGGUUGAAGAAGGCUUCCGGUUGUAAAGCCCCUUUUUUUGGGAAGAAAAGCAGCAGGUUAAUACCCCGCUGUUCUGACGGUACCCAAAGAAUAAGCACCGGCUAACUUCGUG